rnacentral:rRNA from 1 species
GACGAACGCUGGCGGCGUGCUUAAUACAUGCAAGUCGAACGGACAGGCCCUGCUCUUGUUGGGUGCUCGAGUGGCGCACGGGUGAGUGACACGCGAGUAUCCUGCCCCUGUCUUUGGGGUAAAUCCUGGAAACUGGGGCUCAUAUAGGAUAGGAGCUCUUGAUGCAUGGUGGGGGUUGGAAAGUUUCGGCGGUUGGGGAUGGACUCGCGGCUUCUGAGCUUGUUGGUGAGGUAGUGGCUUACCAAGGCUUUGAAGGGUAGCCGGCCUGAGAGGGGGAGCGGCCGCACUGGAAGGGAGACAGGCUCCAGAGGCCUAGGGGAGGCCGCAGUAGGGAAUCUUGCGAAAUGGGCGGAAGCCUGACGGAGCAGCGCCGCGUGAGUGAUGAAGGUCGCCGGAUCGUAAAACUCUGUUAUUAGGGAAGAACAAAUGUGUAAGUGACUAUGCACGUCUUGACGGUACCUAAUAAGAAAGCCACGGCUAACUACGUG